UACGUAGGGGCCUAGCGUUGUCCGGAUUUAUUGGGCGUAAAGAGCUCGUAGGCGGCUUGGUUAGUCAGGUGUGAAAUCUCCACGCUCAACGUGGAGGGGCCACCUGAUACUGCCAUGGCUUGAGUCCGGUAGGGGAGUGUGGAAUUCCCGGUGUAGCGGUGAAAUGCGCAGAUAUCGGGAAGAACACCCGUGGCGAAGGCGGUUCUCUGGGACGGUACUGACGCUGAGACGCGAAAGCGUGGGGAGCGAACAGG
rnacentral:rRNA from 1 species